rnacentral:rRNA from 1 species
UUUAAUUCGAAGCAACGCGAAGAACCUUACCAAAUCUUGACAUCUUUUGACCACUCUAGAGAUAGAGUUUACCUCUUCGGAGGACAAAAUGACAGGUGGUGCAUGGUUGUCGUCAGCGCGUGUCGUGAGAUGUUGGGUUAAGUCCCGCAACGAGCGCAACCUUUGAGCUUAGUUGCCAUCAUUAAGUUGGGCACUCUAAGUUGACUGCCGGUGACAAACCGGAGGAAGGUGGGGAUGACGUCAAAUCAUCAUGCCCCUUAUGAUUUGGGCUACACACGUGCUACAAUGGACAAUACAAAGGGCAGCAAAACCGCGAGGUCAAGCAAAUCCCAUAAAGUUGUUCUCAGUUCGGAUUGUAGUCUGCAACUCGACUACAUGAAGCUGGAAUCGCUAGUAAUCGUAGAUCAGCACGCUA